AAAGAUCUCAAGAAGACCAAUACAUGUUUAAAACCUGCAAAUGAAAUCUGUAAAAAAANNNNNNNNNNNNNNNNNNNNNNNNNUGAAUGCUAAUUAUGUCUAAAAAAAUCACAAUUUCAUCCAAUUUGGACUAAGCUAAAACUCACCAAAUCUGUCAAAAAAAAAAAACAUGUUGCACAUCUAAUAUAUCCAACAAAAAACUCACAACUUGCACACCUCUUAGAUUUAUACAUUGCUAUUUGCAAAAAUAAAAAAGAAAUUACAAAAUUAAUUCCCAAAUCAUUAAACCCCUUAUCUUAACAGUAAACCUUAAAAAAAACAAAUAAAUAAAAAAAUAUUAAUUGUAACUCAAAAAAUCUAAACAAUAAAGCAACGAAUUUAUCUUCACAGUAAAACAAAAGGGAUUUUCGUACAUUUGAAGUGGAUCACGAUUUCGUUUUCUUCUGCUUAUAUGAACACUGAUUCCACCUUCGGAAUAUGGUGGGUUCAGUGUUUCUUGAGAAGAUUAAGGAAAUAAGGGAUAAUGGGACCAUAGAGAGAGAGAAUUUUUGAUAGAGAAAGAGACAGAGAGUGCGCGAGAGAGGGACAAGACUUCAACAGAGACAGACAUAGCGCAAGAGAGAGGGAUAAGUUUUGAUAGAGAUAGAGGGGUUUAGUUUCGACAGAGAGAGAUAGAGAAAGCGCGAGAGAAAGGGACAAAAUUGAGAGAGAGAAGUUUAGACAAAGAUAGAGAGAGCAUGAGAGAGAGAAGAAAG
rnacentral:lncRNA from 1 species